CUACGGGGUGCUGCAGUGGGGAAUAUUGCACAAUGGAGGAAACUCUGAUGCAGCAACGCCGCGUGGAGGAUGACACUUUUCGGAGCGUAAACUCCUUUUAUAUAGGAAGAAGAUGACGGUACUAUAUGAAUAAGCGCCGGCUAACUCCGUGCCUGCAGCCGCGGUAAUACGGAGGGCGCAAGCGUUACUCGGAAUCACUGGGCGUAAAGAGCGUGUAGGCGGAUUAAAAAGUCAGAAGUGAAAUCCUAUAGCUUAACUAUAGAACUGCUUCUGAAACUCUUAAUCUAGAAUAUGGGAGAGGUAGGUGGAAUUUCUGGUGUAGGGGUAAAAUCCGUAGAGAUCAGAAGGAAUACCGAUUGCGAAGGCGAUCUACUAGAACAUUAUUGACGCUGAGACGCGAAAGCGUGGGGAGCAAACAGGAUUAGAUACCCCAGUAGUC
rnacentral:rRNA from 1 species